rnacentral:pre_miRNA from 1 species
AAUCUACUCCCUCCGUUCGGAAUUACUUGUCUCGGAAAUGGAUGUAUCUAGAACUAAAAUACGUCUAGAUACAUCCAUUUUCGCGACAAGUAAUUCCGAACGGAGGGAGUACUAA